GUACUUGUUUCGGCAGUACACGUGAAAAAAUUAGAACAAUACAGAGAAGAUUAGCAUGGCCCCGGUGCAUGGAUGAUGUGCAAAUACAUGAAGUGUUUCAUAUUUUU